UACGUAGGGUGCGAGCGUUUGUCCGGAAUUAUUGGGCGUAAAGAGCUUGUAGGCGGUCUGUCGCGUCUGCUGUGAAAAUCCGGGGCUCAACCCCGGACUUGCAGUGGGUACGGGCAGACUAGAGUGUGGUAGGGGAGACUGGAAUUCCUGGUGUAGCGGUGAAAUGCGCAGAUAUCAGGAGGAACACCGAUGGCGAAGGCAGGUCUCUGGGCCACUACUGACGCUGAGAAGCGAAAGCAUGGGGAGCGAACAGG
rnacentral:rRNA from 1 species